GUAAGGCUUCUCAGAUCACUUAGCCUAUGACAUUUACUUCACUUUUUUUUUUCUUUUUUAGGGGAAGACCUCCUCAUUCGACUUGAACUUCAUAUUCAGCCAUUUAACCUAAGGCUCAUUACUUGCAGUUUAUUGUUGCUGCAAAUUAAAAUCCACAGGGAGCAGACAUGCACUGUGGUUUUAUUUGCCAAUGUAAUGACAGAAUGAAAGAAUACACAAGAGGAAAGAAGAAGUCCUGAGAAACUUGGAGCCUCUGAGACAAGUAAGACAAAAUUUUAUCUCUGUCACCAGCUGGGAACAGGUAGAGACUGAGGCAUCAGUUUUGGUCAGCCUGUCAGUGAGUGCCCUUAGGGCCAGAGAGUUCUGCUAGGACAGGCCGAAGUGCUUUGGAAGUACGGCAACUGGUGAAUAGAAUCAGGAGAGGGACCUGAUCUUGGUGGUAUCUCACAGUCAAAGCCAUGCCCCCUCA
rnacentral:lncRNA from 1 species